CCUAGGGUGGCUGCAGUGGGGAAUAUUGGACAAUGGGCGAAAGCCUGAUCCAGCCAUGCCGCGUGUGUGAAGAAGGCCUUCGGGUUGUAAAGCACUUUCAGUGGGGAAGAAAGCCUUGGGGCUAAUACCCUCGAGGAAGGACAUCACCCACAGAAGAAGCACCGGCUAACUCCGUGCCAGCAGCCGCGGUAAUACGGAGGGUGCGAGCGUUAAUCGGAAUUACUGGGCGUAAAGCGCGCGUAGGCGGUCUGAUAAGCCGGUUGUGAAAGCCCCGGGCUCAACCUGGGAACGGCAUCCGGAACUGUCAGGCUAGAGUGCAGGAGAGGAAGGUAGAAUUCCCGGUGUAGCGGUGAAAUGCGUAGAGAUCGGGAGGAAUACCAGUGGCGAAGGCGGCCUUCUGGACUGACACUGACGCUGAGGUGCGAAAGCGUGGGUAGCAAACAGGAUUAGAUACCCGGUAGUC
rnacentral:rRNA from 1 species